UACGAAGGGGGCUAGCGUUGCUCGGAAUCACUGGGCGUAAAGGGUGCGUAGGCGGGUCUUUAAGUCAGGGGUGAAAUCCUGGAGCUCAACUCCAGAACUGCCUUUGAUACUGAGGAUCUUGAGUUCGGGAGAGGUGAGUGGAACUGCGAGUGUAGAGGUGAAAUUCGUAGAUAUUGGGAGGAACACCAGUGGCGAAGGCGGCUCACUGGACCGGUUCUGACGCUGAAGCGCGAAAGCGUGGGGAGCAAACGGG
rnacentral:rRNA from 1 species